CCUUUUCCAGUUUUGGUGAUUCGCAGAUCUGAGAACCAUGCAUUUCUCACGAUGAACCUCGUUUGAGGUUCUUUUCUGUUUCAUCAAUUGACAUGUCCCUGCCAGGCAACCUGCUCCAUCCUUAUCCGCGCAGUGUUGCCGGAUAGAUUGACAGCUCUUUCAUCCGUGUGCUGCGCUAGAGCGCCCCACUAUCGUGUCAACCUGCUAUGAUGACCGUAUUUUGCGCGCUCUGUGUAGGACACACUGGGAGCGCGGGGAAAAACAACUCUCAGCUGUAGAGGAUAUGAACAGGUGAACAGGUAGAGAGGAAAAGCAGGUGGAAAGGUGGGGGAGGAGCUUUGGCUUCAAACUGUCAGAGAGAUGGAAACAGGGGUGUCAGAUACAGACACAGCUUUCACUGUGGGAGUUGAAGCAGAGACUCUCUCAGGUUAGAUGACAGAGGCCUUUGGGCCUACCUGGUGCAUUCACUGAGCUGAGGGUACAUAAGAAUCCAACAGCUGCACAGCCUAAAGUAGUCCGCCAAUAUAUAUUCAUGGCAACACUGAUCCCGCGGAGUUUUUUUUUGCUGCCAACUCCCGCCCGCAGCACAAUUCAAACCGCCCAAUCCCGCGAGAUUUGGGUUCCCAAUGCAGCUCUCUAACUUGAACAUUCUACAGGCCGAUUUCGGAACAUUUUUUUCUGACAUGAAAUGGAUCCGUGAUCUAAAAUAGGUUGGAGAUCCUGAUUUACGAGAUCCUGAUUGAGACAGAUCAGUUUCUAUCAAUAAUCAGAACAAUCAAUUCAAUUGAUGAAGAAAAUCUGAACCAAUCAUCAGUUUGUUUCAAACACGGCUGCAGACAGAAAAUCUUCCAGUGAAACACCAGAAAGUUCUUCACCUGAU